rnacentral:lncRNA from 1 species
AGAAGUGUCACAUUUACAUGUGUGGUGUUAAUUGUGUUUGUUUUAUUUUAUUUUUUUGCUUGUGUUUUGUUUGUUUCGUGAAGUCAGCAGCAACUACCAAUGCUGUGAGUGUGAGCACACCAAGGAGCACACUGGGAUCAACAAACAGCACUAAGUGGUGUUAUUAAAAAUUCUUUCAAUGUCUUGGCCGUCUCUGGAAACACACAAUAAACUUUGUGUAGCACCAAAAGCAGCGUCGCGGAAUAUUUGCUGAACAUUAAACCACAGCUCAGAUAAACCAAAACAAUUCUUGGAAUUUGCAGAGCAACAAUUACAGAGUCAAAGGACAGCGUUUUGGUUUCGCUACUUCAAUUUUAGGUAAAUAUGCGUUGAGGCGCAAUGUCCACUGCUACUUGAGGCUACCUGAGUUGCAUUCUUUUACUUAAUUUUAUUGACCCUUGACACCACGUGUACACAAAUAAUUAGUACUAAUCCACCGCAGAUAGCAAAGUAUUCGCCUCUGUGUUUGCCCAAGUGAAUCCAUACAUAAAUAAAUAUGUGAAAUGGCAAUUGUUCUUUUACAACCUCUUUGACCCAUCCUAACACUUGCCAUCUUAGGCACUUACUUGUGCUAAUCCACCGCAGUUGAGGUUUAACGCUGCUAAAUUAUUUUACGACGGCACAGGAGCGACCGUGCGAUCAUUGAGCGUUGUGUGAGUUUAAUUUGUGUUUUUGUAUCUGUACUGUACAUCUGUAUUCCACACAUAUUCUUCCUUUACUGGGCCACUGUGUGCUCAACGCUCACCAGAUCCUUGUGCUGAUUGUGGAUCAGGGCGUAUUGUUUUAGCAACAACUUGUCCGCCUCCUGGAUGGUCAUGGCAGACACGUAGACACGCCCAUGGUCAUGCAGCUGGGCCACCACGCCUGGCAUUUCACUGGUCAGAUAAUAGACACACUCCGAAUGGAGUUCAUCGCGCAGCGUCUGGGUGGACAGCACAAACCAUACGGCGAACGUCUUUAUGUUGAUUCUGGAGCCAGAAUGUGCAGUGGACCGCAAGUGCUGGUGAUGUAAAUUGUGCCCUGGAUUUACUGGAUGCGGCAGAUGUACUGCCUGGAGAUAAAAGUUGUGACGCGUACGAAGCGUCUCACACGUUCAAUCUCGUUCUCAUUAAGUAUGCUGUCGGAUGCUUAAUUAGGGUGAUCAUUUACAAUUUUCGAUGCACUCUUAUAACCAUUUAAUGAUGAUGUAGAUGGCAGAUGUAGAAAUAAUGUAAAAUGUAAAAUACGAAACAAAAAAUGUAAUGACUCAGUACCGGGGACACAAGUAGUGACACGUACGAAGCGUCUCACAAGCGUCUCUUCUCGUUGAGUAUGUGUAUGUGUUUUUUAGCGACAGAAGCUUGAUUUAAUCUUAGUAUUUUCCGUUCGACAUGGGAGUAUAAAAUCGGAGCGUUUUUUAGUAUUUUUGUUUGAGCUGCGAAAAUCUGGCUGCUAAGUUUUUAAACAGAGACCGAACAUUUGGUUUGCUUCUGCCUUCUUCUAAAGUUCUCCUAGUGGCUGAUCAUGGAAAAGAACAUGGUCCACCGCCUAGCCCCUCAAGUUCCCUCCGCCUAAAGUUCUGAGACUUCCCUUCAUGGUUCAAAUGCCUCUCAUAUUCUCUGCGCCUAAGAGUCUGAGAGAGUCUGAGAGUAACUUCUGUCCGAGUAUACUUUAAUAAUAUUUAAAUUAUAAUUUAUAUUACAUGAUAUUUGUAUUAUUUUCAGUAUUAUUUAUCUAAUCGAAUACUAUUUAAUAUUAAUAUUUGGCUGGGUGUUGCCCCUGAAAAUGUAUUUCUUCAUUCUGGCUAUAAUAAUGAUUCAAUCUAAUCUUCAUUUUGUGAUCUGUUAGAAAUGGCCAUUCGCUAUUGUGGAUACAGCAGACUUUCGUCUGUGACUCUUUGUGACGGAAACGUUUCCCUCUGUGCGCUAAGGAAACAAAUACAAUAUAACCUUUGUAUUCACUCUUCGAGCACCGUGUAUAAAAAGCAAAAGUCAGUGGUAGAUGUGGCUUAAGGAGCAACUUCAGUUUCAGAACUACGUUUUUUUCUAAAUAUUUGAUGAGGUUGCAGCUGUAUAGAUAUGUACAACAAGAGUAGUUUUUUUUUUUUGGCAGAAACGAUAUUGUUUAGAUUAGUUUUUUCCACUUACUGUUACAUAAAAACAACUUAGUAAUUGUUUGGUUGUCUUAUUUAUUUAUACCUGCCACAGAUGAUGUGCUUCUAGCUCAGGGUAGUCAGACUUUUUUGAAGGUGGUUAAAUAUUUGUAUAUUUCUAUUUAAAACUGCAUCAACAUAAUCUAAUUUUAGUUUGCUUUUUAACUCCAUUAAUUAUUUAUUUUUUGGACUAAUUUUAGAUUUUUGUAAGUGCCUUUAUUUGUUGACAUUUCCAUUCCCAUUUCCAAUUCCAAUUCAAUUAUUUGGCACCCGCUGUUACCCUGCCGGUUAAGCAGUAGAAUCCAAAAAUAUUCUCAUCAAUUAUGCAACUUUGUGCGAGUGUUUCCCCCACAUUUUUAAGCAGGAGUGCCAGGAGUUUUCUUCGUGCUUUCUUGGGCCUCUUCAUUCAUUUGCAAUUUCCAUUAAAAUGUCAUUGAAAUUUCACUUAUAAAAAUUGUUUUCAAAACCCAACCCGAACGCAAAAUCUAGGGAAAAAAUUCAGUGAUAAAAGGGAGGGAGGGGCGAGAGAAAAGGAGUGAAGCAGAACUGAAGUGAAUUUUGUAUUGUGGUUGGUUUGGGCAGGAGUACUUUUUGGGGAAGGAAAGGGUAAGGAAAAACUAGGGCAAGAGGAAAAACUUUGGCUGGCAAUUCUAUUGCCAAACGCAUUUUGCACUUCAAUUGCACGUGAAAAUGAAAAUAAAGUGAAGUGUGCUUGGGGUUGGGGUUCGGGCCAAAGCUGAGGAAAAGCUGCAAAAUUCAAGCCUGAUGCGUGGGUGUGUUUGAGUGUGUGUGUGUGUGUGUGUGUGUGUGUGUGUGUGUGAAAAACAGGGAAUGAGCAGAGCAUUUUCUGAAUGCCUCUUGCGGUUUCAGGUUCGAGGAGAAUCCAGAGUUGAAGUUUUACACCCGCCCCCUCCCACAUUCCAUCACCAUUCCCCACUCAUCUACUGCUCUGCAUUUUCACGUCUGUCUGUCGCUGUCAUUGAUAUGGCAUCUUCUCCCACCUCAGCCAGCCCACCACACACCACCCACCACCCACCACUCGCUCACUCUGACUCUCCCUUUGCCUGGGCCACGCUCUCGCACCUUCAUUUCGUUGUCGUUUUGUCGCCUGUUGUUAAUUGUCAUUGCCUCGCUUUAAGCCGCUCACUGGCAGCAGCAAAAGCAACGUGCGUGGAGAGCAGCAAAGGCAGCGUGCAAGGAGCAGUGAGCAGAGAGAGAGAGGGAAAAGGUAGCCUGAAGCGCAGGUUGAGACACCCAGAGUACCCUUGAAGACGCUGCUGGGAAAACUAUUAAGAGACGCCAAUAUAAAAAUGAAAACUGUGCCCAGUUAAUGAACUCAUUUUAAAUUAAAUGAAAUUCAAAUGGCACAUGUGUAAACACCACAACUGGCAAAACCACAGCUGCAUAUGCUGAAACAGCAAAAAAUCGACCUUCAUCCCCUUCAAAGUGGACGCUAAACUAUUUGUAUGGCCUCUAUAAUUUACAAUUACCUGGAACAAUUUCAGAGGCAAUUAAAAAAACAUAAUUAAAAUGUAUUUGAAACAACAAAAUUGAUCAGUUCUUUAUUCCCUAGCUGUUAGCUCAACAAAUUGCUGCCUUGCUUGAGAUGCACUUAAUUGGGCAUUCUUCUUGUGUUCAAGAAACGAUACGAUACAUACGAGUAUAUCAGCCAUAAAAAGACCAAUUCAUGGACUUUGGUUUUUGCUAAUAUUCCUGAAAUAAAAGUGAAUAUAUUGCGGGUCUUCAUUUACAUUUGCUUCGAAACACAUCGAGAAAUCAAUAAAAAAUCAAAAGUUGAAUUCUUCUGUCAAAUGAAUAUAUAUUAAAAAUAUAAAUAUUUAUUUACAGAAUUAAACAGCCAUUUUGUGCAGCUAUAAAGACAAAGAUCCAUCAAUAAUUUCAAGCAAAUAUCUGCGUAACUGAGCGACCGACGAUCCCCAGUGCAGACAAUUCCCUUACCACGGUACGUCCUAUACGGAGUAGUGGCUGCUAGGUAAUGUUUAAUGUCUAGUGUAAAUGAUGAGCUUGUUUAAUAAUCAACAAUUUUCUCCUUGAAGCCUGCUCUGUGGCCACAUGUCCGCUUCCUUUUGGUUUCUUCUUUAGCUGCUCUGACUUCUCGC